CACAGCCCCAAUGGGUGUCACACACAGCCCCGAUGGGUGUCACAGAGCCCCGAUGGGUGUCACACACAGCCCCGAUGGGUGUCACACAGAGCCCCGAUGGGUGUCACACAGAGCCCCGAUGGGUGUCACACAGAGCCCUGCUCUCCCCCCAGCCUCUCCUGCCCUCUCAAGUGCUGCAUUCUGCUCCCAUUGCUAUAGUAACUUUCUGCCUCCUGAUUUUGUUAUGAAUGGCAGUGGGGAAGGCUCCGUGCGGGCUCCAGCUGAUGCCCCGCUGUUCCAAACAUCCUCACGGCUCGCUUUCCCCGUUAACCCUUGAGCGGACGGGGCUUUUUAGCCGGGGGUUCCUUUGUGAGCCUGAGCUCCCUUCCUUUUGUCUCCGUUUGCUCUCAGCAACGAGCCACACGUGCACCGCACACAAAGAGGGGGAUCCGGGGGCUUUGAACGCUCGGAUCUUUGGAGUGCCGGGCAUUUUUGGGGAGGUGGGAGUUGACGGUGCAAGGUGAAGGAGACCCGGCAGCUCCGAGGGCUGACUUUGUGCUCCUUUAUCGCCAUCCAGGCAUCCCCUCUCCGGACACAGCGCAGCUCUUUUCCUCCUGCCAGCACAUCCUCCCUCUGGGAUUUGCUGUCGCCGUGGAAAACAGGAGAGAGCGCGGGACCAAGAAUGAGCUGUUUGCUGAGGAAUUUUCAUAUUGAUCCUGGGUUUAUGAAUUUCAGAGGAGGGGUCCAUGAAAGGAGCACAAAGGCAGAGGGAGGAUUGUACAGACACCCUGUGAAGCACCCAAAAAGGAGAAUACAAAGGAGGAUGUCUUUUAGCAGCUCAGUGACUCUUUUGGGGUGCUUGAGUUUCCUUAUGGGUGACAAAUCACCUUUGCUUUGACACCUGAGGCCAGUCAGAGACU